UGAGGGAAAGGCGAAAAGAACCCCGGCGAGGGGAGUGAAAAAGAACCUGAAACCGUGUACGUACAAGCAGUGGGAGCCCCACCACUAAGCCAGUGGUGAACUCCACAUACGCAUCCUUUGCUGAGGAUACGGUUAACGGAGCGAAAGCGACGUUCAACCUCAAAAGAAGCAGAGGGGGCUUAGUGGUGGGGUGACUGCGUACCUUUUGUAUAAUGGGUCAGCGACUUAUAUUCUGUAGCAAGGUUAACCGUAUAGGGGAGCCGCAGGGAAACCGAGUCUUAACCGGGCGUUAAGUUGCAGGGUAUAGACCCGAAACCCGGUGAUCUAGCCAUGGGCAGGUUGAAGGUUGGGUAACACUAACUGGAGGACCGAACCGACUAAUGUUGAAAAAUUAGCGGAUGACCUGUGGCUGGGGGUGAAAGGCCAAUCAAACCGGGAGAUAGCUGGUUCUCCCCGAAAGCUAUUUAGGUAGCGCCUCGUGAACUCAUCUCCGGGGGUAGAGCACUGUUUCGGCUAGGGGGCCAUCCCGGCUUACCAACCCGAUGCAAACUGCGAAUACCGGAGAAUGUUAUCACGGGAGACACACGGCGGGUGCUAACGUCCGUCGUGAAGAGGGAAACAACCCAGACCGCCAGCUAAGGUCCCAAAGUCAUGGUUAAGUGGGAAACGAUGUGGGAAGGCCCAGACAGCCAGGAUGUUGGCUUAGAAGCAGCCAUCAUUUAAAGAAAGCGUAAUAGCUCACUGGUCGAGUCGGCCUGCGCGGAAGAUGUAACGGGGCUAAACCAUGCACCGAAGCUGCGGCAGCGACACUAUGUGUUGUUGGGUAGGGGAGCGUUCUGUAAGCCUGUGAAGGUGGCCUGUGAGGGUUGCUGGAGGUAUCAGAAGUGCGAAUGCUGACAUAAGUAACGAUAAAGCGGGUGAAAAGCCCGCUCGCCGGAAGACCAAGGGUUCCUGUCCAACGUUAAUCGGGGCAGGGUGAGUCGACCCCUAAGGCGAGGCCGAAAGGCGUAGUCGAUGGGAAACGGGUUAAUAUUCCCGUACUUGGUGUUACUGCGAAGGGGGGACGGAGAAGGCUAUGUUGGCCGGGCGACGGUUGUCCCGGUUUAAGCGUGUAGGUGUGUGUUCCAGGUAAAUCCGGUUCACUUUAACACUGAGGCGUGAUGACGAGGCACUACGGUGCUGAAGCAACAAAUGCCCUGCUUCCAGGAAAAGCCUCUAAGCAUCAGGUAACAUCAAAUCGUACCCCAAACCGACACAGGUGGUCAGGUAGAGAAUACCAAGGCGCUUGAGAGAACUCGGGUGAAGGAACUAGGCAAAAUGGUGCCGUAACUUCGGGAGAAGGCACGCUGACAUGUAGGUGAAGUGAUUUACUCAUGGAGCUGAAGUCAGUCGAAGAUACCAGCUGGCUGCAACUGUUUAUUAAAAACACAGCACUGUGCAAACACGAAAGUGGACGUAUACGGUGUGACGCCUGCCCGGUGCCGGAAGGUUAAUUGAUGGGGUCAGCGCAAGCGAAGCUCCUGAUCGAAGCCCCGGUAAACGGCGGCCGUAACUAUAACGGUCCUAAGGUAGCGAAAUUCCUUGUCGGGUAAGUUCCGACCUGCACGAAUGGCGUAAUGAUGGCCAGGCUGUCUCCACCCGAGACUCAGUGAAAUUGAACUCGCUGUGAAGAUGCAGUGUACCCGCGGCAAGACGGAAAGACCCCGUGAACCUUUACUAUAGCUUGACACUGAACAUUGAGCCUUGAUGUGUAGGAUAGGUGGGAGGCUUUGAAGUGUGGACGCCAGUCUGCAUGGAGCCGACCUUGAAAUACCACCCUUUAAUGUUUGAUGUUCUAACGUGGACCCGUAAUCCGGGUUGCGGACAGUGUCUGGUGGGUAGUUUGACUGGGGCGGUCUCCUCCUAAAGAGUAACGGAGGAGCACGAAGGUUGGCUAAUCCUGGUCGGACAUCAGGAGGUUAGUGCAAUGGCAUAAGCCAGCUUGACUGCGAGCGUGACGGCGCGAGCAGGUGCGAAAGCAGGUCAUAGUGAUCCGGUGGUUCUGAAUGGAAGGGCCAUCGCUCAACGGAUAAAAGGUACUCCGGGGAUAACAGGCUGAUACCGCCCAAGAGUUCAUAUCGACGGCGGUGUUUGGCACCUCGAUGUCGGCUCAUCACAUCCUGGGGCUGAAGUAGGUCCCAAGGGUAUGGCUGUUCGCCAUUUAAAGUGGUACGCGAGCUGGGUUUAGAACGUCGUGAGACAGUUCGGUCCCUAUCUGCCGUGGGCGCUGGAGAACUGAGGGGGGCUGCUCCUAGUACGAGAGGACCGGAGUGGACGCAUCACUGGUGUUCGGGUUGUCAUGCCAAUGGCACUGCCCGGUAGCUAAAUGCGGAAGAGAUAAGUGCUGAAAGCAUCUAAGCACGAAACUUGCCCCGAGAUGAGUUCUCCCUGAGACUUUAGGUCUCCUGAAGGAACGUUGAAGACGACGACGUUGAUAGGCCGGGUGUGUAAGCGCAGCGAUGCGUUGAGCUAACCGGUACUAAUGAACCGUGAGGCUUAACCUUACAACGCCGAAG
rnacentral:rRNA from 1 species